CUGACACAACAGCAGGCUGACUGUUUUUCAGUUCUGAUUAGACACUAGUGUUGAGAUGGCUGUCUGUCAUGAUAGCAUGUACUGAGUCGGGGCCAGUACCAGAUAAGCACAUUAAACUGUAAUCCAUAAAUGUAAGGUAACAACCGAGACCUAAUGGUGCUGUGACAGCAAUGUGAUUGAGUUUGAGACAGUGAAAAUACAUAUGGUAUGUUGUAUCUGAACAGGUUAGCUUAUGAGCUAAAGUUACUUAGCACAGAUGAAAGUUAAAACAAAGACGUUUAGCAAACUGUUAAAGCACACAAACCUUUGUUAUAUGAGAAAUCCAACGCUAUGACUCUCCACAAAUUGUCCUUCAGGUUGUUAUCUUUGUAAUAUUUGUGUCUUUUAACAAAAAGCACUCUGUUCUCCGACUCGUAAACAAUAAGCUGGUAAGCCAUGUUGGAUAUACCGGACGUCGCAACAACACGCAAUCUGAUUGGUCAGAAGUGGACACACAGUAUGUGAAACUUUAGAAAAAUCAACUGCGAUAUGAAAAAAUAAAUGCCGAAAUAUCGCAGGACAGGAAAACAUCACUGAUGUGAAUGCUUGUAUUGACAGGAUACAGGUUGAAAAAGAAUAUUGACGUCCGAAAUAAUCGCAAGAAAAAAAUGGUCCCGGUAUGUAAGGACCUUUACACUAAUAUAUCUAAUGUCUGAAAAAUCACAGGCUCAAUCCAUGCCAUCCUUCUUCAGCUAAAUGACUGGUGUCACUCCGUCACUUUGGAACCAAUGACCGAAUGUCAUCUGCAUAACAAUGGAUUUUUGUGGCAUUGUUCCUCGUGAUAUAAAACAUAAAGGUAAAAUUAUCCAGGGAAAAACUGUGUCCUGUUGCAGAGGCUUUGUGUGAGUUAUGUCUUAAGUAAGGGUGUGUUCAGUCCGCUCUAGACUACAGUAUGUACCAGAACUGCAGCGGCUGCAACCAGUGUUGUUAACAGGUGCUGUGCAGUAGAGCGCACCCCUGCCGUAGAAUGCAUCCCCUGACGAGAGCGCAGUUCAAAGUACAUAGCAAGGCGAAAUAAUCCAAGUUUUCAUUACUAUUGGGUGGAUUCAAAAGCGUGUGCCUUUAAUGAUUUCAUUCAGGCUAUUGAGAUAAGCCAAAAACAAUAGCCCUCUGAUUUGGAAUAUUUGUUGUUGCGAAAAUAUAAUGUUCUCUACCUUGACAGCUUACUGUACAGUUAAUACACCCGAGUACACCUCUAUGUGUGCAUUUUUGAGACACAUAAAAACAACGAAAGUUUGCUGCUCCAUUUGAUAUGUAGUCAUGAUCCAAUACUCAUGUUUUUGAUUUAAAUAUGACAUGAUUUUCUUGCACUUUAAGAAUCUAACAGACCUGUAACACACCUCGGGGGCCCCCCAUGGCUUCAUAUUAGUUUUAUUUUUGCUUUAAAUGCUGCUGACAGGAAAUUUAGGACCAUGAGAUAGUUUUGAUAUCUUGCAUUGGUUAUGCAAAUAAAGUUAUUCCACAGAGUUGGAGACCUUAAAUUAGCUGCAGUGAUGAUGAUGGAUCUGGAUGAAGAGCUGCAUCUCAUACCAAAGACCCUUCUCAUGUGAGUAAUGCAUUAUUUCUGUUUGAAUUCUUAUGACACACGUAAAUAUAAAGUUAGGUGACGUUUACAUAUAUAUACCUAAUAUUAUGUCUGUACGUACAGUACAAGGCCAUGCAUACAUUUGUGGUGUUAGCACACAGAUGAGUACUCACAUGGGUGUACACUUGAAUGCAUUUGAACGUGUCAGAGUGUUUGUGUGAUGACUAAUGGCUAAAUGAGGAGCGUGCUGUAUAAACAGAUGAGGACUGCACUCCACUUAGAGCCUGUGGCAGGAGGCCCACACACCUACACACAUCCACCAACAUCAUCACAAACCUGCACGACACACCGACCAGAGACACAAGGUAAAGCAGAGACCCAGAGGGCUUAAAAUGGAUUGCCGGAGCUCCAAUUUGAAAACAAACAGAUUCUGAUUUCAUGAAUAUUUGUUACAAUGUCCAAAUUCCUAUGUAAGCGGGGUUAUACUACACGGUACUACACUGAAGCAUAAAGCUGUGUGUGUGUUUUCGUGUGUGUUCAUGCUCCACAGAGUACUGUGAGGAGAAAAUAAUCCUAUUUGUGUUUGAUGCUGAUUACAACAGCAUGAACACCAACAGCUCAAAUGGUACCAUUUAGACCCUUUGAAUGAAGCUAAUGGAAGUACCAUGCACACACACACACACACACACACACACACACACACACACACACACACACACACACACACACACACAAUAUUAAAUGUGCCUGCACCUGCUGUAGCAUAGUGUUAACCCCCUGUGGGUUUUCUCAUCAGUGUGUGUGUGUGUGUGUGUGUGUGUGUGUGUGUGUGUGUGUGUGUGUGUGUGUGUGUGUGUGUGUGUGUGAGAGAGAGAGAGAGAGAGAGAGAAAGUGAGAGUGAGCGGGAUUGUGGGUUUAUUGAGGUCUGAUGGCACUGACCCAUCAUUACUGUCCUCUACCUAAUCAGCCAUGUUUAUGUGUCUGUGAAUCUGUCCCCCCAUGUUAAAGUCUCUCGUUUUGUGUGUGUGUGUGUGUGUGUGUGUGUGUGUGUGUGUGUGUGUGUGUGUGUGUGUGUGUGUGUUGAAACUGAGAUGUAUGGUUUUCAUUAACUCUGCUGUCAUUCAUUAACACACCUGCUUUCCUUUCUCUGGGUUGGAUAUUAAAAUCCUGUGUGUGACCUGAGCUGAUUAAAGAUUUUGUACUCUUUAUGAGAAGAAGACACUGUCAAACACCACCUACACCUUCACACCUUUACACCUGUACACCUGAGCUAGCUGAUUCAAACUCGGCAUUAGCUUUCGCUGAUGUAGAGUGAAGACAGGGUUGGAGGUCAGGGGUGAUGGAUGUGUCAAAUAAUGCAGAAUUUCCUCCCAAGAGGUUUGGGUUCAACUCCUGUGAGACACCACAGUUACAUGUUAAGAGAAGGGUUUACAGGAGGCCUGUCUGAAUAACAUGUUACUGUAUAAUCCAAAAUAGAUUGUGAAUACUGGCUGUGUUACAUAGAGCAGAAUAUUCUGACUAUAAAUGACUUUCAAGCCCAAAGAUAUAAAAAUAAAAGCACUUUAGUGAAAUUUCACAGAGAUGAAGAGGUGGAGUUUAAACCAUUUCAUAACCCUGUUAAAAUAAAAAUUGUACUUUGUUGUCAACAGUGUUUCUAAAUGUCUCCUGGCUGUAUUUACUCUGUGUAUGCACAACAUCUAGAAAUGAACACCUCAUUUCCACAGUCCUACAAGCACAGAGCCUGGGCGACAAGAUUCCAUUCAUUCCUCUGAGUCCACCUCCAAGAUUUUCACUCUAGGGGCCUGAUCUACUAAGAUCCCAAAUAGCGAGCGCUAAAUUACAUGUGCAAACUAAAAAAUUGCAUGUGCUAUUAGAGGGCGUGUUGCGGCUGAUCUACUAUCAUUGCGUGCGCAACUGAUGACUGGUGUAAAAGUGGUGCGGACCGCCCACUCUAAAGGAGGAUUUUGCGUGCGCUAUCGGCCAUCACCAUGGAGAGUUUAUGAGAACAGAGUGUUUGAAGCCAUGGAGUUGCACAUAACCUAUUGGGGAACUGCAUACAAGGCAAGGCAAGUUUAUUUGUAUAGCACAGUGGUUCUCAAGUCCAGUCCUCGAGGCCCACUGUCCUGCAUGUUUUGGAUGUUUCCCUGCUCCAACACACCUGAUUCAAAUGAUCAGCUCGUUAUCAAGCCAUUACAGAGCUUGAUAACGAGCUGAUUAUUUGAAUCAGGUGUGUUGGAGUUGAUUGGAGUUGACAGAAGGACCUGGGAUCAAACCCCUACCUUCUAAUCGAAGACAAUCAACUCUACCACUGAGCCACAGUUGCCCCCUUACAUUCAGAUUUUUUUGUUCGGUAAGUUUUCUUGUGGUGUCUGGUGUUAGACACCAAUGGUGUCAGCAAUUACAGAUUUAUAGACAGCAUGCACUUACAGAGGUAAAAACAAUGCAUUAGUCUUAAAGCGAUGGUCUACCAUUUGGAAGCUUGGUACUUAUGAAUAACACCGUUUAUAAGGUCGUUAUGGGCCUAUGGUCCGAUCUACACAAUAUAAAGAUCAAAAGAAGGUCCAUCCAAUCCCCAGUCUCCCCUGCUCCACACCAUCCCGCCCAUGGUCCCGCCUCCUCCCCACUACCCCCCUCACGUACAUGUGAUUAGCGAGCUGCACAGCUGCUGAAGCGUAAUGGAGCCGGAGAAGACAAACACCGAAACCAGGAGGCCGCUUCUGUUACCCUCCACAUCGAAGGGAAGGAAACGUAAAGAGGAAAAAGGCUGAAGUAAGGAAGAAAUAUGAGCGAUACAGGUGCCAACGGAGAGUCUACAUUGGAGAAAUGUACGACUGGUGGAAAAAGCUGCAGAGGGAUUUGGGACAGAAAACUGAUGCUGAGACAGCCGAAUUUCUGUUGAACAGAUAAUUACUUUGUUUACUACAGUGUGAGAUGUCUGCUGAAUAACUCUGGUUAGUCUGUGCCUAUGACUGGCUAAUGACUGAAAGUUGUUGGUCGGAACGGGUAGGCUCUGUCAAUAGAUUUUAGCAUAAGUUAGCCACGCAUCUUUAUCAUUGUAAACUGAGCUGGUGAAGACACGCCGAGAAAGGUAAAGCCUCGCCCACAAUCGUCUCUGCUCUGACCGGCUAGCAGUGGCGACGCCAGACCCGCUUCACCCUGCUAAUAUAUGGUUUUGGUCGCACCGGUCCAAUUAAAAUGGCAACCACUGUGUACCACUGCUGAUAUUUUCUGCUGGCCUGCCUCUUGCUCUAUCAGAGGGGGCGUGUUGUUAGGAGGCGACACAAGCUGGUGGGCGGGAUUUUGGAAUACAGAGGGGAGGGGUGAGUGAAGGGGGGGCAGGCUGCGUUUUUCAAAUCUGUCUCAAAAGCCAAACUGGUUUUCAGAUCGUAGACCACAGCUUUAAGAGUUUUAGCAGAAGUGGAAAUGCUACAGACUGCAGUUUCUUUACUGUCCACUAGAGGCUGUCUGCAAAAGCCCCUGAAACUCUGGGUUCAUUCUAAAAACCUUACCUUUACAGCUUUACAGGCGUGUUCAGGUGUGUUAAGAUGCGUCCUCUCUUGUUUUACAAGCCAUAAAUCUUCUCCUGUCACUUUUUUUGAAAGAGUAAAGAGUGCUGGUAACAUCCAGAACUUCUUCCUCUUCCAUUAUUUGAUGGGUUGUGUCAUCAGGAGUGAUCCACCUCCACACACAGCUCACAUUCUGCUAGACAGAAAGUCUCAUGUUCUGAAUUGGAUCCAUUUAAGAGAAAAGCUCUGGGCUGUGUAGUGGAAGCACGGACGUCUACAGAGGGCCAGAUGACACACUGAGGUGUGCUGGUAUAAAGGUUAAGAAAGGAGCCUAAUGGACUAGAGCAGGGGUCGGCAACCCGCGGCUCUGGAGCCGCAUGCGGCUCUUUCUUCCCUAAGCUGCGGCUCCCAGUGGAUUUGGAAAAUAAAUAAUAAAUACUUAAUUGCAUUUUAUUUUAUUUUAUUAUUAUUAUUAUUAUUUGUAAUUCUAAAUUCAAAGAUUAUAAUGCUCUUGUAACAUUAAAUAAACUAUUAAGGCUGCAACAACAAAUCGAUUAAGUAGAUUCGUCGUGACGAAAAAAUCCGUUGCCAACAAAUUCUGUAAUCGAUUCGUCGGGUCUUUAUAUAUGUCCAUGGACACCGGCGUGUAAACAUCAGCAGGACGCACAGAAAAGAAACAGCCAUGGCCGAGGCAGCGGCUGAGAAAAACAUGGACACAACCCAACCCAAAUCCCGACCUAAAACAUCAGUGGUGUGGGAAAACUUCACCAAGACUGAAAAGGAAGGCGUUAAGUGCAACAUUUGCAAAGACCGUUUUGCAUGGCUCGGGAGUACAUCGAUGAUGCGUGAGCACAGGGCUCUCAAGUCUCACGCAUUCAGCGUAUGACACACGCAUUCCCACUCGUUCACACGCUCACACACCACACAUUGUAUUUCUCACGCAUUUAAAUGAACACGGUGAUGUCCACCAAGUUGCAUUUCUUCAACUUUGGAACUGGGGGAAAUCAACCGAGUUCCUCCGAGAGUUCAGAAGCUGCGGGCCACGCACAAGCCAAUCAAAUAAAGUAUAUCUACUGAACAGCCAAUCAAAAAGCAGCAUUGCUGUAUCUGGGUAGAUUUUGAUAUCUUGCGGUUUAACUACAGAAGAAGACAGACACUCGCCGAAAUAGUUCAUUUAUUUCAUAAAUGCAACUCACUACAGUUUUUUAUAUACUUUGUAUAAAGGUUAAAAAAAAAAGAUAUAUGCAAUGUUAUCUUCAUUUUAGAUGACAAAGAGGUUUUGUGGCUCCCUGUGUUUUCUUUUCUGUGGGAAACUGGUCCAAGUGGCUCUUUGAGUGUUUAAGGUUGCCGACCCCUGGACUAGAGUAUCUUGGUUUUAAUCACAUUUUUUUUGUGUGUGUGUGUGUAAACAUAGUCUGACUUCAGAACCGGAGAUAACUCCUUAUUCUGAGUCCACUUUUGCUGCGUCGAGUACUUUGAAAGUUUAAGUGGUAUUGAGGCAUGUGCUGUAUGCUCCUUCACAGGUGUGGUCUAACAGAUGAUGAAGGUGAGAAGAGAAGUCUGUUUUUAAAGCUCUGGCCCUGACUGCACAGACAUCCCAAUCCUAUAUUCCAGUGCACACAUGAUCAAUAGCUCCACAUGCUGUGAACAACACAGAGAUCUGAACAACCAGCAGUUAUUAGUGUUUAUAAAAGCGCUGCAGAUGAGACGUAACAUUACUCUGUGUGUUAAUGAUGUUGAUCUGUGUUUCCUCACUGUACUCAGAGGCUCCAGUCCUUUAAAGUGUAAACCACAGAUCAGUAACACUGAGAAAAGCAGCCUCCAUGUUAACACAGAAGUGAUUACAUCGAGAGAAAGAGAGAGAGAGAAGGGGGGUGGGGGGGCUGUCAGCUAAAAAGUAAAUCACCAUCAUCCCCUGAUGAAGGUAAACAGAGCGCCAUGUGUAUUUGCACCAGUAAAGUGCGAUCUGAUCUAAAAUUUAAGACUUGUCACUUGUGUUCUGAUCCCCUUAAACCACAUCGAUGCAGGUAUGAAAAACCUCAUAAUGGACCUUUUUGAUGUGUCUCCCAAAAGACAGGACAGUUUUUUAUGUGUUUUCACAGUCAGCAUCUCAUCCCUCCUGUCCUACCUUUUAUUCUGAGAUUUUGCUGAUCACUUUUUAAGCUCACCUAAAUGAGCCUAAAUUUUAUAUCAUGUUGACUCUGAGCCAUCAUGCAGCCUUAAAUCCUCAGGUGGUGCCCUCCUUAGGCUUCUUUAAUUGACAUCGAACAAAUGUGGACAACAAGAUCCAACAAUUCCAGCAGACAUCUGGGGCCUCAUGUAUCAACGCUUGCGGCGCAAGAAAACCUUGCGUACGCCAAAAUCGGCGCACACGUCCAGAUUUAUCAUCGCGAAACGAGCGUCGGUUCCAGCGCUAAUCAACGCAAAGUCAGGAGGUGGUGUAGAAAUUGGCGUUGAGCUGGAUAUUUGCGUUGACUGUGAUUCGCACUUUGGCGACGCUGUGUGGCGGUGUUUGGUGACUCACUAUGUGACCAGCGUGCACCACAUCCCCGUGGCCGGGCAGCACGUCGCCCCACAUGACGAACCAGCAGCAGACGGAGGGAUGCGAGCUGAUCCCUGCCGGGCCGCCGUCCUCGCGCGGGAGAAUCUCAUCGCCACAGUGUGAAUGGGUAAGAAGUGAAUACACAGUUCAAUGAGCCAAAUUAAUUUAUUUUCUCCACCAGACGCUCGAGGAAAUUUACGAGCCGGUCCAGCCGCUCGUUGAUCCCCGCGAUCCCCCUGAUGAUUUCUUCCUGCGAUUGCAGGACCCCCUCCGCGAGGACCCUUCCACUGCGUCCGGGUGGUCCAGCGGAAGCGCCGCGGCUGGUGGACGCUCCACCGCUUGUCGGCGCGCUGGUGCUGAUGCUGGUGCUGGGGCCGGGGGCCGGGGUGGCCCGAAUGCCGCUGGUCCUGGCCGACGACUCCGAGCCGGCGGACGGGCUGCCGCGGGCCAGGGUUCCGCAAGCUGGCGACACGGCCGACACAUUAAUUUCUGUGACACAAUAAAAAUAUUAGUUCAUUUCAAUUCCUGCUUCUGUGUAUCUGUUGCGUUUACAUCUCUCUCCACGGUAUCAUAGGUAAUGUAAUCCAGUAUUUCGAGGUCAGUUAUGCACAUAACAGUUGUUUAUUGCAUAAAAAGUUAUCGGAAAAUGAAGUUAAGGGCGAAGUAUAAAUCACGUCUAAAAAUAGACUGAAUCCCGACGUUGAAAUGAAGUAUAAACUUAGACUAGACGUCUAAUAUACGUCUUUUGCUCAGUGGGAUGACAAAGUAUGUGGACAUUUGUGUGACACGCCACUUACCCUAUAAUAAUAAUCGCCACCACCCGCUGCUCAAACGGUGUGAGGGUCUCCUCCCCGGACCCCCACCUGUCUGGCCGGUACUCCUCCGGAGGGCAGCUGUACGCCGCUUGACCUCCACCUUGAGGUCCGACCACUGUUUUUUAAUCUCCGCGGGGGUGCGUGUCUCGGAACCCACCGCAUUCACCCUCUCGCAAACUUUCUCCCACUCCAAGCGUUUUUGUUUUGCACUGACGCCACUGGACAGGCUGCCAAACAAAACACGCUGUCGCUCCUCCACCUCCGCCACCAGCACCUCCACCUCGCACGCCGUAAAUGUAGUUUUUCUUGUCAUUUUGUCUGCGUGCGAGGACAGGGAGACCCUAUUUAAAUAAAUCUGCAUAUUUAUAGGAGGGCGUAACGAGGACGGGCCCAGUCACUCCGACAUCUGCGCUCAAUUCCACGCUGAUUGGGAUUUACCAAGGAAACACACGUGGAUUUCGGCGCCCGCACACAUUGAUACAUACAGAUUUUUUUCAGCGUGACGGACCUUGCGUGCGCUCGUUUCUGGUAUGAGUUCCACGCAAGUGUUGAUACAUGAGGCCCCUGGAGGAGUUUCCAUGGUUGCUGUGCUGGUGCGAAGGCAAAGUCAAGGCUAGGAAAUGGAGAUGUAAGCCCUGUUAAAGCCUGAUAUGUAAGGACCUGCAAUGUAAUAAAAAUAUUGUAAAAAAUGUAAUAAAACCUAAAAUGUAAUAACUGACCCAAUGCUUUGCAAGAUGCUCAGCCCAAAAGGCAAUAACUUUUGUCCAAAACAUUUUUAUUUAUGAGGGAAGGAUGGAGCGGGAGAUCGACAGGUGGAUCGGAGUGGCGUCAGCAGUGAUGCUGAUACUGAUCAGUCGUGGUGAAGAAAGAGCUGAGCUGUAAGGCGAAACUCUCGAUUUACAGGUCGAUCUACGUGCUGAUCCUCAUCAAUGGCGGUGAACUUUGGGUAAUGACCAAAAGAACAAGAUCCUGGAUACAAGCGGCCAAAAUGGGUUUCCUUCGCAGGGUGGUCAGGCUCAGCCUUAGAGAUAGGGUAAGAAGCUCGGACACUCAGGAGGUGCUCAGAGUAGAACCGCUGCUCCUCCACGCCGAGAGGAGUCAGCUGGGGUGGCUCAGGCAUCUGGUUAGGAAGCCUUCUGGACGCCUCCCGUUAGAGGUGUCCUCUUGGCCGGCCCAGGACCAGGUGGAGGGAUUAUAUUUCUCGCCUGGCCUGGGAGCGCCUGGGAAUCCCCACGGAGGAGCUGGUGGAAGUGGCUGGGGUGAGGGCCGUCUGGGCUUCCCUCCUGAAGCUGCUGCUGCUGGACCCAGAUGAAGCGGAAGAAAACAACGACAAUGAUUUUUAUUUAUUUGUGUUGUCAUCCGUAGUUUGUGGACUGGGUUUGGUCUGGUUUCUCUGACACUCAGGGAAAUUGUUGUAAUAACAGCAGAUCCACUUCCAUCUACCAGUGAAGAUAAGGAGCUGGCUGGUGUGUCUUUAAACACCAGACUUCCUAAAUCCAGCUUCAAGUGCAUGCUUGAGAAAGUGCAGAUUUUUACUGAUCCUCUUGGAUCCCCAUCAAACCAUUUAGAACUCCCGAGUCACAAAAUAAAACACGUUAAGAAACCAAGCAGCAGCAGCUCAGUUCCACCUCAACCCUCUGAGGUAUAAUCUCUGUUUUAUUCUCAGUGUAGUCUGCUGUGUUUGUAGAAAGUGAUGUAUCAGCUGUUACUGUCUCUUUCACUAACAUAAAGCACUCUCUGUUUUUAGGGACUUUUAUGUAACGCUGUCAAACUCUGAGCCUGUCAGGGAUAAAAACAAUAACCUUUACUGACACACUUUGAUACUUCAUAGCUUACCCACUUUACAUGAUGCAGGAUGGGGGGACUCUCCUGUUGGUACCUUUUUGUCAUUUGGACCCUAAUAUAUGUUGGAUAAAAGUUGCAAACAUCAAACCUUUGAUAAAAACAGGAUUUACCAAAGGACGGCUGGUAUAAAGAGCAUCACUUUUACCUGACGAACUUGAAACCCAUCCUCUCUGCUGCAUCUGUGGCUAAUGAUGAGAAGACAAAGUUGAUGGUUUUAACAGGGUGAGACAAUGAGUGUUCCCCUUCAUGCAUUAGCCCCAUGAUGGUGGUAAACAAAGCCUCUCUGUUGGCAGUCUAGGGGUCUAAUAAAGCUCUGUGCAUUAUCCAUAUGAGUGUUACUACACUUUCAGCAUUUCUACAUGAGCUUCUCCAAAGCAGACUCUAAACAGGCCCUAUGACCUCUCCUGUGCACAUAUGUAUGCACUCUCUAUAACAUCUGGGUACGCUCCUGAUGAGAUGAUGAGUAUUGGUAUCCCAUCCUGAUGGGAUGAUGGGAUGGAAUCAGGGCAUCAGUCUGUGGCAUGACGUGCAUGGCGGUGGUGGAUGCAGUCAUACAUGAUGUCCUGGUGGUGCUUGAUGGGAUUCAAGUCUAGGUAAUGGGCAGACCAGCCAAUAACAACAAUGCCUUCAUCAUCCAGGAAGUGCUGAUACAUUGCUCCAGCCACAUGAGGCUGGUCCUGCUCCAGAUAGAUCUCAGGACCCGCUGCAUCAGCAUCUGGUCUGACGAUGACUAAGAGGAUCUCAUCCCUGCAUGGUUAUUUAAAAUGAUUAAAAAAAGAUAUAAUGGGCUCUGCAUGUCUUUUCUCCUCAGGCAGGUUCUUUCAAAGACAAAGGGCCCCAAUGGAAAAGCAGAGUCUUCUUUAUUUGAAUGAAUGAUGAGUCGUUAGUGUCAUACAAGUUAAAGGAUUUGAGCUCUUUUACCACUUACAUUUUAUCACAGGCUGCAGAUUGAACAAAUCAUUCAGUCUAUUCAAGCUUUUAUAUGACAUCCUUUAAAAUGUGGAGACUUGAGCUUGAUUCAGAAUGAUGUGUCUCACUUUUUAGUUUGUCAGAUGUGAGCGCUCAUUGGUGCUUCGGCCGCUCCCUCAUCAAGCACAUUCUGUUUCUAUAUUUUACAUGGCAUUAGUGGUUUUUAGAUAUAGUUGUUGUGGCUGAAUGCUAAUAAAUGCUGUUCUCUGAUGAGAGCUAAAAGGUUGUAAAACAUGAUUUUGAACUCAAAUUAUGACCCCAAUCUUUGCAGCUGCUUAUUACCGGAGGGUCACAAUUUACAAUCUGACACUGAGCAUAAAUAUAUGAUAACAUUUAGCUACCCUCUCUGACUGUGACUGAAUAAAAUAACUGACAUGGGAUAGAGUCUGUCCAGUCUAUGUCUAUAUGUGUUUGAAGGCUCUGGGGAUACGUGUUCUGAAUAUGUGAUUAGAUUGUCGAGAAUUGACUGAAUUAGCUUGUAACAGGACAGCAUAUUGGUGUGUGUUUAUAUUUAUAUGUGCAUACAUAUAUAGGUUUAACCAGGGGGGACAAGCAUACAACGUCAACCCUGUUACCACUUUUGAACAUAUAAACCUAAACAAUUUUGUAUUUCUCAAAAUAUAAUCAAUAUCUACAAGUAAUUAACUUUCAAAGUACCUAGCUUGCACUUUAGCUAGCACUUAUUUAAGCUAGCUACAAGGAAGAUUAGCUUAAAAUGGUCAACCCUGUUACUGUCAACCCUGUUACCUUUCCACAGUAACAGGAUUUGACAUGUGAGUAACAGGGAUGACAUAGAAUAGUGUUUACCCUCGUUUUACUCUCUUUAAAGGUUCACCUUUUAAAAUUAAAACAUUUUAGGUCACCAAGUGAACAUUAUUGAGCUAAUAAUAUAUGUAUUUUUUUGAUUGAUACGCCGGUGGAGAGCCACUUACUUUUUGUCCAGUUACUGUUACUCUUGUCAGCCCUGUUACCAUAACGUCAAUCCUGUUGUCAUUUGUUUGAUAAAAAUUUUAAAAAUGACAACUCAAACCGGCUUUCAACACUCACCAUUAUAAUUUAAAUAACAUAAUAUUUUAGAUUGGGCCAUUUUUCAACAUUUCUCUUCUAAAAAAUAUCUGAUAUAUGUUGAGACGUUAUCGCCUUGCAAAAUUAGGGUAUAUUUCAUCAUCUAAAUGACAAAUAUUUAAUUGGAGAAAAAAAUCCACAAAAUAAAAUAAUCUCAAUCGAAAGAGAGACUAAAGUUCUGCUAAUAUAUGUACCAAAUAUUGGAUAUUUCUAAUUAGAAAUAUUGUACAGGCACAGUAUAAUUUCCUGCCAUUUUAAACAUUCUUUGAUUCCUGGGUACUUAAAAAUUAACAAUUAAAUAUAGUUUAAAUUUUUAAUUUUCUAAGCUGAAAAGGCACAGAUUUUAUGGAAUGACCCAUAUAUAUAUAUAACUAUAUAUAUAUAUAUAUAUAUAUAUAUAGUACAUUUGUCAUUUUAAUUGUUCUGUAAGGUAACCUUGAGAGCCCUGAAUAGCGCUUAUAAAUAAAAUGUAUAAUUAUUACUUAUAUAUUAUUACUAAUUAUUUAUUCUGUAUUAGCCAUGGGCUGUAUGGUGCAUAUGUUGGUGUAACUGCAUACCCUCCAUACAGUUUGGUGUUUCAAGUACACAGCUGUUUCUGCUGACCUACAUGAUGGUCUUACCGAACGGUGAAGAGUCAAUCAAAGAGAUGAAGAAAUGGCCAAAAUAAAACAGGUGGACUCUGAAAAGCUUUGAGAAUUACAGCCAUCAUCAUUAAUCACACAAUCAUUCAAACACAACAGGACACAUGCCCCCCCCUCUCUCUGUCUUCUUUCAGACACUGACCUCUGAUGGACGCAGUUUGGACAAAAUGUCCUCUUUAUUCCUCGUACAGAGUCACUUUAUGAUUAUUUCUCAGCCUCUCUUCUGUGGAUGGGCCUUCACUUUCUUCUUCUUAUUGUUGUUGUGGCACCUUCAGGAAAUGUGUUCUGCUGUAUCUGAUGAAAGCUUCACAGGUAAAAUUAUGUUUACUACCUGCUGUCUGCACUUUCAUCACAGCCUAAACUCACCAUCAGGUUGGGGUUAAAAUAAAUAGAAGGGCUGAUGAACCGUGGAAAAAAAGGGGAGAGUACAAGAAAAUGUGUUUCUGUAUUUCUGUGCAGUGCGUCAGAUAGCACGGAGACUUUCUCAGAGAUUACUUUGACGCACAGUGAAUCUUCAGCCUCUAUGAGAACAAGAGCUGCUUAAACAUCAUUAAACCCAACCAGCAAAUAUCUCGACUUACAUGGGGGUCAGACUACACCCCCUUUCUCCCUGCAUGAAUAGAAAGAUUGAGGAUCACAAAAUCAAAAAAUUAUUUCACGAUCUAAACAAAAGAUGAGACUUACUGAUGGCGUGUGAGCAGCCAUCAUGACUGAUGGUGGUUCCCACAUAGACUGUAUAUUAAGUGGACGCUGACGCGAAUAUAGAAUGCAAAAUUGCGAAAUAUUCAGAGACAAAUUUUGACGCGCCUGUUUAUACACAUCAAGCCCGAUGUGAUUUUGCGACUUUCUGGGUGGAAGCGAGAAGACUGACACAACAGCAGGCUGACUGUUUUUCAGUUCUGAUUUGAAGCUAGUGUUGAGAUGACUGUCUGUCAUGAUAGCAUGUACUGAGUAGAGGCCAGUACCAGAUAUGCAUAUUAAACUAUAAUCCAUAAACGUAAGGUAACAACCAAGAGCAACGCGAUUGAGUUUGAGACAGUGAAAAUACAUAUGGUAUGUUGUAUCUGAACAGGUUAGCUUACGAGCUAAAGUUACUUAGCACAGAUGAAAGUUAAAACAAAGACGUUUAGCAAACUGUUAAAGCACACAAACUAUUGUCAAAUGAGAGAUCAAAUGCUAUAACUCUCCA